rnacentral:rRNA from 2 species
AGAGUUUGAUCAUGGCUCAGAUUGAACGCUGGCGGCAGGCCUAACACAUGCAAGUCGAGCGGUAGCACAGAGAGCUUGCUCUCGGGUGACGAGCGGCGGACGGGUGAGUAAUGUCUGGGAAACUGCCUGAUGGAGGGGGAUAACUACUGGAAACGGUAGCUAAUACCGCAUAACGUCGCAAGACCAAAGUGGGGGACCUUCGGGCCUCAUGCCAUCAGAUGUGCCCAGAUGGGAUUAGCUGGUAGGUGGGGUAACGGCUCACCUAGGCGACGAUCCCUAGCUGGUCUGAGAGGAUGACCAGCCACACUGGAACUGAGACACGGUCCAGACUCCUACGGGAGGCAGCAGUGGGGAAUAUUGCACAAUGGGCGCAAGCCUGAUGCAGCCAUGCCGCGUGUGUGAAGAAGGCCUUCGGGUUGUAAAGCACUUUCAGCGGGGAGGAAGGCGNNNNNNNNNNNNNNNNCGAUUGACGUUACCCGCAGAAGAAGCACCGGCUAACUCCGUGCCAGCAGCCGCGGUAAUACGGAGGGUGCAAGCGUUAAUCGGAAUUACUGGGCGUAAAGCGCACGCAGGCGGUCUGUCAAGUCGGAUGUGAAAUCCCCGGGCUCAACCUGGGAACUGCAUUCGAAACUGGCAGGCUAGAGUCUUGUAGAGGGGGGUAGAAUUCCAGGUGUAGCGGUGAAAUGCGUAGAGAUCUGGAGGAAUACCGGUGGCGAAGGCGGCCCCCUGGACAAAGACUGACGCUCAGGUGCGAAAGCGUGGGGAGCAAACAGGAUUAGAUACCCUGGUAGUCCACGCUGUAAACGAUGUCGAUUUGGAGGUUGUGCCCUUGAGGCGUGGCUUCCGGAGCUAACGCGUUAAAUCGACCGCCUGGGGAGUACGGCCGCAAGGUUAAAACUCAAAUGAAUUGACGGGGGCCCGCACAAGCGGUGGAGCAUGUGGUUUAAUUCGAUGCAACGCGAAGAACCUUACCUGGUCUUGACAUCCACAGAACUUUCCAGAGAUGGAUUGGUGCCUUCGGGAACUGUGAGACAGGUGCUGCAUGGCUGUCGUCAGCUCGUGUUGUGAAAUGUUGGGUUAAGUCCCGCAACGAGCGCAACCCUUAUCCUUUGUUGCCAGCGGUCCGGCCGGGAACUCAAAGGAGACUGCCAGUGAUAAACUGGAGGAAGGUGGGGAUGACGUCAAGUCAUCAUGGCCCUUACGACCAGGGCUACACACGUGCUACAAUGGCAUAUACAAAGAGAAGCGACCUCGCGAGAGCAAGCGGACCUCAUAAAGUAUGUCGUAGUCCGGAUUGGAGUCUGCAACUCGACUCCAUGAAGUCGGAAUCGCUAGUAAUCGUAGAUCAGAAUGCUACGGUGAAUACGUUCCCGGGCCUUGUACACACCGCCCGUCACACCAUGGGAGUGGGUUGCAAAAGAAGUAGGUAGCUUAACCUUCGGGAGGGCGCUUACCACUUUGUGAUUCAUGACUGGGGUGAAGUCGUAACAAGGUAACCGUAGGGGAACCUGCGGUUGGAUCACCU